rnacentral:rRNA from 1 species
AGUUUUGAUCAUGGCUCGAGGAUGAACGCCGGCGGCGUGCUUAACACAUGCAAGUCGAGGGGAAACGACAUCGAAAGCUUGCUUUUGAUGGGCGUCGACCGGCGCACGGGUGAGUAACGCGUAUCCAACCUGCCCACCACUUGGGGAUAACCUUGCGAAAGUAAGACUAAUACCCAAUGAUAUCUCUAGAAGACAUCUGAAAGAGAUUAAAGAUUUAUCGGUGAUGGAUGGGGAUGCGUCUGAUUAGCUUGUUGGCGGGGUAACGGCCCACCAAGGCAACGAUCAGUAGGGGUUCUGAGAGGAAGGUCCCCCACAUUGGAACUGAGACACGGUCCAAACUCCUACGGGAGGCAGCA